rnacentral:lncRNA from 1 species
UGGCAAAAUGACAGGAUUUUUUUUUUCUCGUUUAAACCUAUAGUUUUUAUUAUUUUAUUUUAUUGUAUUUCAGACAUAUUCCACCUGCUUUAUUCAUUUCAGGAUUCCAAAUUCACUGCAGCUACAUGACGUUGUUGCCUGGAAUAACACUGGUAACUGGAGAAAUGUAGGCAUCUCAGAGUGACACAUAAUAACAAUAUGUGUCAUGAACCACUGAUUAAAACUGAGAUAAAGUAUGAAGAGCCAAUAGUCUACUCAAAACAAUUAUUAAGCUCUGUCCAAGCAGAGACGGUUUUGGAACAGAAUAAAGAUCAGAUGUAGAAAUGAGAAAGCAAAGGAAUCCAAAUGCUCAAAAUUCCUUACAGUGCUUCCAGAUGCAGCUGGCAAAGAUGUAUUGACUUUAAAACCUCAACAGAAAAAGGCAGCUCUGUCCCAUCCAUUUCUUUCUUUAUCCUGUACAAGGAUGCUUCUGUGCUCCAUGGAAAGAAUUCAUUAAUACUUGAGCACUAAAAGGUAAUACUGAGUUCUAUGUAAUCCUAUAAGGUAAAAAUUGAAGUAUUUGUAACAUUUUUUACCACCAUGUGUUUAGUGUGGAGCCUACACAGGAAUGAAAAUCUUCAUCAAAAAUCAGUUGACCUAUAGAAUAUUUUUACGUGAUUAUUGCAGGCACUUAUAAGAUGAAAUCAAAGAGUGGUUUAUAGUGGGGAGAGCUCACUGGAAUUUGUAUAUAUUGGAAUUGGAGUGUGUCACCAUUCCUAUUAAAUAAUGACCUCUCUGUAAGAGACUAUCUCGAAUUAUACUGAAAUAUAUGGAACACAUUCCUCCUCCUCCUUCUUUACCCAUCACCUUUAUCUUCAUUAAAAUAUGGAUUAAGAUUCUUAUCCUCCUUCUUUAUCUCUGUUAAACCACUGUCACUGAAGACAAAUUUUGUCGCACUAGCUGCU